GAUGAACGCUGGCGGCGUGCCUAAUACAUGCAAGUCGAGCGAACAGACGAGAAGCUUGCUUCUCUGACGUUAGCGGCGGACGGGUGAGUAACACGUGGAUAACCUACCUAUAAGACUGGGAUAACUUCGGGAAACCGGAGCUAAUACCGGAUAAUAUAUUGAACCGCAUGGUUCAAUAGUGAAAGACGGUUUUGCUGUCACUUAUAGAUGGAUCCGCGCCGCAUUAGCUAGUUGGUAAGGUAACGGCUUACCAAGGCAACGAUGCGUAGCCGACCUGAGAGGGUGAUCGGCCACACUAGAACUGAGACACGGUCCAGACUCCUACGGGAGGCAGCAGUAGGGAAUCUUCCGCAAUGGGCGAAAGCUUGACGGAGCAACGCCGCGUGAGUGAUGAAGGUCUUCGGAUCGUAAAACUCUGUUAUUAGGGAAGAACAUAUGUGUAAGUAACUAUGCACGUCUUGACGGUACCUAAUCAGAAAGCCACGGCUAACUACGUG
rnacentral:rRNA from 1 species